GUGCGCUUUGGCAGCACAUAUACUAAAAGUGGAACGAUACAGAGAAAAUCAGCAUGGCCCCUGCGCAAGGAUGACACGCAAAUUCAUGAAGCGUUUCGUAUAUAA
rfam:Myotis lucifugus cont2.33963, whole genome shotgun sequence.